AACGAACGCUGGCGGCAGGCUUAACACAUGCAAGUCGAACGCCCCGCAAGGGGAGUGGCAGACGGGUGAGUAACGCGUGGGAACAUACCCUUUCCUGCGGAAUAGCUCCGGGAAACUGGAAUUAAUACCGCAUACGCCCUACGGGGGAAAGAUUUAUCGGGGAAGGAUUGGCCCGCGUUGGAUUAGCUAGUUGGUGGGGUAAAGGCUUACCAAGGCGACGAUCCAUAGCUGGUCUGGGAGGAUGAUCAGCCACAUUGGGACUGAGACACGGCCCAAACUCCUACGGGAGGCAGCAGUGGGGAAUAUUGGACAAUGGGCGCAAGCCUGAUCCAGCCAUGCCGCGUGAGUGAUGAAGGCCUUAGGGUUGUAAAGCUCUUUCACCGGAGAAGAUAAUGACGGUAUCCGGAGAAGAAGCCCCGGCUAACUUCGUGCCAGCAGCCGCCGCGGUAA
rnacentral:rRNA from 1 species